UACUCCUACUCCAAAAGAACAAACCUCAGCUGCUUGAACUAAAGGAGAAUCUCCAUCAGCUCUUCUGAACUUCACCCCAGGGUUUCCAACCUACCCUUGAGACUGAAAAUCAGACUGGAGAUCUCAGCUGAACAACACCUGCUUUGAUAUUUUAGGUACUUCCUGUUUCUAUUCAUGAUGGAAAUACCAGAAGAACCUUUCCUGUGGUACUGUGGCAAAACUGCUUUUGGUCCUGGACAUCUGACAACUGCAGAAAAGCUCCCUAGACAAAGAGGAUUCAACAGCAGCGAGUGGGGAAUUUCCAUCCAUGGGACUCCUCUACAGUUCCUGAGGAGUUUUUGAAUGGGAUGGAUCCAAGGGACAAAGUCACCUAUUGUUCAACAGAAGAUUAGAAUGAGACACACAGAACAAACCCUUCAACAGCAAGGGACUUUUCUUAGGGGGCACUUUAAAAUGGUAUCUACUGGCAUUAAGGGCUAUCAACAAGUGAAAGGGCCAUGCCUGAACAGAGCCUUUCUGAUGCCAGACCAACCAGAACCUGAAGCACACUAACAGCAGGAGUAAGAUGGAGAGUCCCCAUGUUCUGGAGGAAAAGCCACGUGCAGGAGGAAAGCUGGAGAGGAAGGACACUGCACUCAUUAGAAUGCUUUGACCAGCUCCCAAUGAAUAGUUAAGUGUAGUGAAGAAACUGAGGCAGGCAGUGGUAUAGAGGUGUCUCUUUGUUUUGCCUACAUCUGUACCUCUCUUGUUUUGUGAAAGUGAAGAGUAAUGGUGUUCAAAUCCCAAAGCAAAAUCGGUGUCUAUUUGCUUCAACUAUCACAUGUUCCUGUGAUACCAGAGAAAUCCCCAGAUUCAUUUGAAUUCCUGGCCUCCAUUUUGAAUAAACAAGAGUCACUCCACCACUAGAGGGCAGCUGCAGGUCACAUAGCACUUCAAAGUAGAGGUAAAGUCAGCUAAAUUACCAAAGUAGGGGAAAGUACAGAUGAGGUAAUCAUAACUCUGAGGUAAACAACGGCAGUGAGCAUGCGUGGAAUGUUGAC